GAUGAACGCUGGCGGCGUGCUUAACACAUGCAAGUCGAACGGGAAACUUUUCAUUGCAGCUUCGGCAGAUUUGGUCUGUUUCUAGUGGCGGACGGGUGAGUAACGCGUGGGUAACCUGCCUUAUACAGGGGGAUAACAACCAGAAAUGGUUGCUAAUACCGCAUAAGCGCACAGGACCGCAUGGUCCGGUGUGAAAAACUCCGGUGGUAUAAGAUGGACCCGCGUUGGAUUAGCUAGUUGGCAGGGUAACGGCCUACCAAGGCGACGAUCCAUAGCCGGCCUGAGAGGGUGAACGGCCACAUUGGGACUGAGACACGGCCCAGACUCCUACGGGAGGCAGCAGUGGGGAAUAUUGCACAAUGGGGGAAACCCUGAUGCAGCGACGCCGCGUGAAGGAAGAAGUAUCUCGGUAUGUAAACUUCUAUCAGCAGGGAAGAUAGUGACGGUACCUGACUAAGAAGCCCCGGCUAACUACGUG
rnacentral:rRNA from 1 species